ACCUUGUACCGGUACACAGUGGCAGAUACGUGGCAGCAGGGCUGUUUUCGUAAUUUCACAUCUUGCCUCUAUCCUUAUCUACCCAGCACGCCCCCUGGAGGUCUUUGGAUGAUGCUAGAGCUCAGAGAAGUGCCUUUGCACCUCCCUCAUUUUCUCUCUCUAGGAUUUCUCUCUCUUUGAGUAGAAAUCGUCGAUUUGCGCUUAUUUCUCGCCGUUCUUCGCGCUAGCUGAUUUGCAGACUUUGGAGCAGCUACGAGUAGGUGGGAAGGACUCGCAGGGGAGGUAUUUUCGCAGCUCCAACUCACAGGGAAGUUGAGUUGAGGUUUAGUGAGAUGGUUUUGAGCUGUAAUUGAGGAACGGUUUUGUUGUAAUUCUUCACCCCAAAGUCAGAUUUGAAGCCUUGGAGGGUUCCGAAUUAAUUUGAGUUAAAUUGGUGACCUUGGGGACUGGUUUAGAAGGUGUUUUAACCUGGG